rnacentral:lncRNA from 1 species
GAUUAGGUAAAAGCCGCGAUGUGGGCGUACCUUAUGUGGGAAGUGUGGCUUGUGUAACCAGUCUACGACUUGGGCAGUACUCACCGGAAGACUACAGUGCGAUUGCGCAGGUUGUCCUUCGCAAAACACUGGGAGUUGUGAGUGGGCGUGGCCUGUCGUCUUGACAACCGUGAGCGUUCCUGCUCUGCAGAGUUCACUUAUCCCUAAGCAAAGUUCCUGCUUCUGUCAUGGUAAGCCAGGAAAGUGAGGGAGACAGGAAAGGGGCAAGUGCGGAUUCCACUUCAGCGCUGUCGAGGGAGGGCAGGCAGACAGGGGCAGUGCGAUCCAGAGGUGGCGAGAUCCAGAUCUUUGCAGUGACUAAACUUUACUAGCUUCCGGUGAUGUACAUUCCCACUUUGGCUCUGACUGCCUUGUCAGAAAAGUUUUCAUUCCAACGCAGAACAAUAUGGAGCAAAUUUCGUGUGUUGUUUCCCAUUCUCCAUCAAGAGAUCAUCAAUUAUCACACUCGUUGAGGGGAGAUUCAGAGUGCAUUAUUUGUGUUUGCUGGCUGGAAGCCAGAGACACACAAAGGAGAAUAUUACAGCCCUCCGGCUCUGUCAGUUAAGCAGAAUAUCAGACACAAGCUUUACCAAGGUAACAGCUGGUGUAUCUAAAGCGGAGUAAUCAAGCUAUUAAGGGUAGGAGAGAAGAAAAGAUUGGUGCUUUUCAGUCUCUUUUAAGAUAUAAGUAUGUAUUUUCUGUAAGUGGUGGGAAGAAAUGGGUAGUGAAGGCCUCCCCUGGCAAGACCCCCAAUGGGUCAUCAGCCAAGUUAAGACUGCUGGCAAAUUACAAGAACAAGCACGUAUUUGCUACAUCGAAAGGUGGAUUUAAUUUCUUUUUCCUAUCUACAUAGCACUGUUUCUCAAAGACUUCCAAGCCAUUUGGGGGAAUAUUUAAAAUGUAGAUUCCAGGAGGUUGCAGCUUCAAACCUAACUGUAUCAUGGGGCUUCCAGGAAACAAAGUACCAUAAACAUGUUUGCUUAAACAGUAGAAACUGCUUACCUCACCAUUCUGGAGACUGAACAUCUGGGGUCAGGGUGUCAGCAUGGGGGCAGGGAUUUAUUCAGAUCUCUCUUCUACUUCUAAAUAGUUCUUUAGUGUGUAGCAGUGUAAACUCAUUUUUUUCAUACGAUGCUUAUUUUCUUCAUGAGGGUCUGUAUCCAAGAUUCCUCUUUGUAACCUGUACCAGCCAUAUUGAGCCAGAGGCCUGUCCAGUUCCAGUAUCAGCUCUUCUUAAUUGGGUGAAAUAAUUACAGACCCUUUUCAUAAGCAGGUCAAACGCUAACACACAAGAAGUUAAGAUUUUAGUAUAUGAAUUUGAAAAUGCAUAAUUCAACCCCACAAUCUAAGGAAGUAUACAAUUCAGGAAGGGAAGCAACUAUACUGUAAGUCCAAGAGGACAAAUUUCUCAAAAAGCUUGUCAGGAAGUCCUUUGCCACUUGAACGUUGAAAAGUUUUACUACUGAUGGCUCUUAUGUUUAUGUGAAGGAUAAAGAUAGGACUUUCCCCACACCUGUUUCAUGUUAGAAAUACUAGUGAGGGAUAAAAAUGUGCCCAUCAUCUUUAGGAUAUGCUCUUUGAGGAGGAUAUUUACAUAGCCUACCAUACAGUAUUUGUUUCAAGAUGGAAAUAUGUUAACAAUGUGUCAGGGAAUACUACAGCCAGGAUAAAAAUUAUUUGUAAAAAUCACAUGAGAGCAAAGCCUCCCUCGUUGCUCUCUCCCUGAUGAAUAUUUAUGGAGAGAAUUUCUGAAAUGUGUGCACCUUGCAGGAAGAUGUCGUCUAAAUCUCAUUUACUGUGUGCCAAAUUUGGCACUGGCAUUUUAGAAUGAUGUUCCCAUGGCUCGAACCAGCCCUUCCUAUGUGCAGCUCUUCAGAUAUGUAAACUGUGUAAUUUACACUCAGACGGCCUCUUACAGGUUCUUUACCAGAGAGCUGAUGGGCACACAGGCCUUCUCAGGAGUUUACGAAUAGCAUCACGGGAAAUACCUGUACUUGUAAAUCAGUAUUGAAGGACAGAGCUUUCCAAAAAGAGCAGACUGACUGUAAAUCAUGUGGCUGGGCAGUCUUCACUUCAUCGUUAAUUGGCAAACUUGAAGAAACUGAUUCUCUCCCCAUUUUUAAAAAAAAAUACUAUCAAUCUUAUGUAAUAGAAAGGUUUCUUUUAGACAGCCGCUACAUCUGCAAAUUUGAAAUAGUAUCAAUAGUCAGUAAUGCGUGGAGAUUUAGGGCAUCUUUUCAACCAGUCCUUUUUUAGCUUGCUCUCCUAUCACAGACUCAUUGAUAUAGGAAAUUGUAUUGACUAACUCAAAAAGAUGCUUCGUGAGAAAUCUUGUGGGUUUUCUUGCCUGUGUUUUCAGUUUGUUCUGACUUCUUUUUAUAGUAUUUUUUCAGUUUAAGGUAGCCAAAGAGUCACAGAAAAGUUGCAAUGGAGGCACAAAGGAAAUUCCCUCGGGCUCUUCUCUAGCUUCUCCUAAUUAAUGUAUUUUGUGAUGCUCUGUUGAAAGUAUCUGAAUACUGUUUUAAAAUGUGUCAAUUCUUUUGUUUUCCAACUUUUUAGGCUCCCAAAUCAAAAAAGGUAUGUAGAAAUUAUGUUUUCAAAAUAAAUAGUUUUAUGAUCAUACUGU